rnacentral:rRNA from 1 species
GUGGGGAAUUUUGGACAAUGGGCGCAAGCCUGAUCCAGCCAUUCCGCGUGAGUGAAGAAGGCCUUCGGGUUGUAAAGCUCUUUCGCAAGGGAAGAAAACUUACCUUUUAAUAGAGGGUGAGGUUGACGGUACCUUGAUAAGAAGCACCGGCUAACUACGUGCCAGCAGCCGCGGUAAUACGUAGGGUGCGAGCGUUAAUCGGAAUUACUGGGCGUAAAGCGUGCGCGGGCGGUUUUGUAAGUCAGAUGUGAAAGCCCCGGGCUCAACCUGGGAACUGCGUUUGAAACUACAAGGCUAGAGUAUGGGAGAGGGGGGUAGAAUUCCACGUGUAGCAGUGAAAUGCGUAGAGAUGUGGAGGAAUACCAAUGGCGAAGGCAGCCCCCUGGCCUAAUACUGACGCUCAUGCACGAAAGCGUGGGGAGCAAACAGGAUUAGAUACCCGAGUAGUCC